rnacentral:misc_RNA from 1 species
UAAUAUAUAUUAUUUGUAAUGUACAAAACGUGUUUGACGUGGAUACGUUCACCACGUGGUUUAGGCACUCAAGGGAAUUCCUCGUCAAGCUUAUUACAUCGCUACAAAGGUCGGAAGGUACGAGCUAGAUUACGAACACAUGUUUGAUUUUACAGCCGAGCGAGCUCGUCGCAGUGUAAAAAAGAGUCUGGAGCUUCUGCAGCUCGACUACGUCGACGUCAUACAAGUUCACGACAUCGAGUUCGCGCCUUCGCUGGACAUAAUCAUAACUCAAACCCUGCCCGAGUUGUCGCGCCAAGUGGCCGAGGGCCGUGCCAGACACAUUGGCAUCACUGGCUACCCUGUUUCUGUACUCAAGGAGUGCAUCGAACGGAGCAACAUCAACAUCAGCUGUGUGCUGAGCUACGCUAGGUUCACCCUCAUCGAUGACACCCUCGCCGAGUACAUUCCGUUUUUCAAAGAGCACAACAUUGGAAUCAUCAAUGCCGCAGCACCGUGCAUGGGACUUUUGUCAAGUAAAAAACCUCCACAAUGGCAUCCGGCUCCAGAGUGUAUGAAAAAAGUAUGCAAUGACGCGGCACAAUGUUGCAAGGCACAUGACGUGGAAUUAGCUAAGCUAGCGGUUUGGCAUUCGUUUCAAUGUCCAGAUGUUUCUACCCACUUGGUUGGAAUGCAAAAUUUGCGAGACUUGGAUAUAAACAUGAAUGUUGUUUACAAUGGCAUUAGCGAUAAAGAGAUGGAAGUUCUUGAAGAAAUAAAAAAAGACUGUCGACAUCGAAGGAUGUUAAUGUAAUGUGAUAUUAUUAAACAAUAGUAAUAAGUUUAAGUAAAGCUCUGUGUUCACAGCUUUGUGAUUGUGGAAAUAUUAUGGUUCAUCUCGAAAGUGACAAAGAAGCAUUGGG